GACGAACGCUGGCGGCGUGCUUAACACAUGCAAGUCGAACGGAAAGGCCCUGCUUUUGUGCGGUGCUCGAGUGGCGAACGGGUGAGUAACACGUGUGUAACCUGCCCUUGACUUUGGGGUAACUUCAGGAAACUGGGGCUAAUACCGGAUAGGAUCUCCUGCUGCAUGGUGGGGGUUGGAAAGUUUCGGCGGUUGGGGAUGGACUCGCGGCUUAUCAGCUUGUUGGUGGGGUAGUGGCUUACCAAGGCUUUGACGGGUAGCCGGCCUGAGAGGGUGACCGGCCACAUUGGGACUGCGAUACGGCCCAGACUCCAACGGGAGGCAGCAGUGGGGAAUAUUGCACAAUGGGCGGAAGCCUGAUGCAGAAACGCCGCGUGCGGGAUGACGGCCUUCGGGUUGUAAACCGCUUCCGCCUGUGACGAAGCGUGAGUGACGGUAAUGGGUAAAGAAGCACCGGCUAACUACGUG
rnacentral:rRNA from 1 species